rnacentral:rRNA from 1 species
UGCGCAGGCGGUUGAGUAAGACAGAUGUGAAAUCCCCGAGCUUAACUCGGGAAUGGCAUAUGUGACUGCUCGACUAGAGUGUGUCAGAGGGAGGUGGAAUUCCACGUGUAGCAGUGAAAUGCGUAGAUAUGCGGAAGAACACCGAUGGCGAAGGCAGCCUCCUGGGACAUAACUGACGCUCAGGCACGAAAGCGUGGGGAGCAAACA